AGGACUUGAUAGUUUCCGGCAGUAUGACGCCGUACAGGGAGAGCGAUGCUCUGGUUUCAGCACUUCGGAUGCGGUGAUCACAGUAGCCGGUGGCCGAGAAGAAAUACGCAAUACAUGUUACGUAAAUUAAGUGAAAGAAACAUACAAAUAUAGAUGCAAUAAGAUAUAAAGCUUGGCCACAUAUUGAUUAAAUGGCAAUCAUGAUAAAUACUCAGCUGG
rnacentral:lncRNA from 1 species